UGCGUUGAAACACCGGCUCCCGUACAACCACUGAAGUUAAGCAAGGCCAAGCUUGGUCAGUAUCUAGAUGGAUGACCGCUUAGAAAUAACAGGUGCUGUAAG